UCUUCACACUUUCAUACUCCGGAAAAUUUAAAAUCACUUCAAACUUUUUGUUUAGUUUGAUCUGAUGUAGUUAUAAAUACAGUAUAAUUAGAAAUACAUGUAGUUAAUUAUAACUAGAAAUUUUUUGUUUAAUUUUUUUAGUUGAAAACUUUUUGUUUUGUUUUGUUUUUAUGAAGAUAAAUUUAUAUUUUUUAAGUUAAAAAUGUUAACGAGUACAUAAGGUUGUUGCUUAUGUAAAAUUAGAUACACUCUUCAAUUGAUGUAUUUCCAGCUAAAUAUGACCUGAGCGUGGUUCGAGAAGAAUUGGAAUUGCGACGCUCCACUUUUCGAGGGAGUCAUCUAUCCCAAUACUUCUUCGGUCCUAAUGUGCUUAACUCUUUUAAUCUAUUGGUCUAACCACCACCGAAAAUACUAUAGCCGAGUUAAGAGGUUUAGCCCUAUUUUACAUUAUUUAUAGGACUAUUCAAAUUCCUUGGGUCUUGUAUUCUCCCCCCUUCCUUUUAAGCCCUGAUACUUUCGUGAGACUCAGACACAUUCACAAGUAUCAGACGAUGUGAGACUCAUCUUGACUUUGUGGGGAGCCGCGCUUCACACACAUCUGUCAUUAGCCAAAGAUUCUCGCUCGGCCCGCUGUAUAACCUUGAUUCAGCCGAGAACCAUCUUCAUUUUUCGGUUGGUAAUUAGUUCUGAUACCAAUUAUAACGCCCCACUUCCUAAGGGGUCAUCCAUCUUAGGACUACUCCAGUUCUAAUACGUUUAAUUUUCUUAACCUCUUGGUUGUAACUAGCACAAGAAAUGUUAUAGCUGAAUUAAAAAGUUUAGUCCUAUUAUACCUUACAUAUAUACUAUUCUAAUUCCUUGGGUGUUACAAGAAUAAGA
rnacentral:lncRNA from 1 species